rnacentral:rRNA from 1 species
GCAGUCUGCAACUCGACUGCAUGAAGCUGGAAUCGCUAGUAAUCGCAGAUCAGAAUGCUGCGGUGAAUACGUUCCCGGGUCUUGUACACACCGCCCGUCACACCAUGGGAGCCGACAACGCCCGAAGUCAGUGACCUAACCGAGAGGGAGGAGCUGCCGAAGGCGGGUUGGUAACUGGGGUGAAGUCGUAACAAGGUACC